GGCUCAGGAUGAACGCUGGCGGCGUGCUUAACACAUGCAAGUCGAACGAAGCACUUCUGAUUGAUUCUUCGGAAGAUUGAUUAAGUGACUGAGUGGCGGACGGGUGAGUAACGCGUGGGUAACCUGCCUCAUACAGGGGGAUAACAGUUAGAAAUGACUGCUAAUACCGCAUAAGCGCACAGUACCGCAUGGUACGGUGUGAAAAACUCCGGUGGUAUGAGAUGGACCCGCGUCUGAUUAGCUAGUUGGUGGGGUAACGGCCUACCAAGGCGACGAUCAGUAGCCGGCCUGAGAGGGUGAACGGCCACAUUGGGACUGAGACACGGCCCAAACUCCUACGGGAGGCAGCAGUGGGGAAUAUUGCACAAUGGGGGAAACCCUGAUGCAGCGACGCCGCGUGAGUGAUGAAGUAUUUCGGUAUGUAAAGCUCUAUCAGCAGGGAAGAAAAUGACGGUACCUGACUAAGAAGCACCGGCUAAAUACGUG
rnacentral:rRNA from 1 species